AAGGUGAAAAUUCCAAAAGAUAAGGAUGGUAAACCAAAGCAGUUUGCAUUUGUGAAUUUCAAACAUGAAGUAUCUGGUUCCUUAUGCUAUGAAUCUUCUUAAUGGAAUCAAACUUUUUGGAAGGCCCAUCAAAAUUCAAUUUAGAUCAGGAAGUAGUCAUGCCUCACAGGUUGUCAGUUUGUCAUAUUCCCAGCAUCAUGUUGGAAAUUCAAGUCCUACUUCUACAUCUCCUAGCAGGUAUGAAAGGACUGUGGAUAAUGUGACAGCAUCGGCACAAGUAAUACAGAGAUCAUUUUCUUCUCCAGAAAAUUAUCAGAGACAAGCAGUGAUGAACAGUGUUUUGAGACAGAUGUCAUAUGUUGGGAAAUUUGGGUCUUCACAUGUGGAUCAGUCAGGAUUUAACCAUCAGUUCAGUCACAUAAUCAUACUUUCAACCAGUCUUCAAGCUCCCAGUGGCUCUAAGAUGCAUCAUCAUCACAGCGUAAAGUCAGACAGAAUUCUCAUCCCUACCUUUCAGAUAGACAUUAUAGCCUCGAACAGCGUUACACCGAUCAUGGAUCUGAUCAUCAUUACAGAGGAAACAGAGAUGAUUUCUUCUAUGAAGAUAGGAAUCAUGAUGGCUGGAGCCAUGAGUAUAACAGAAGAGACAGCUGUAGGGAUGGAAAAUGGCGCUCCUCUCGACACUAA